GAGGGAAGUGGUAUUUUUUUAAGCCUGGAGACUUCUCUGAGGUGAGAGAAUUGCUGGGCAUUAGCUAGAAGGUUAAAAGGGUGCCUUCCCAAAGCAGAACCCUUUGGCAUGUUAACAAGAUGAGGAGUUCGUUCAGUGAAAGAAAGCUGAGCCCCUGCAGUGUGCACCCUCCAAAGCCAGAGAUCCAGUAGCGGAUAGAGUUCACCUUCUACCAUGAGGCUACAGAGAGUAAACAAGACUAUGUAAGCUGGGUGGCGAUUAAAGAGAUUUGUCAUUUUAAAUGGGAUGGGCAGGGGAGGACAUCUGGGCAAAGCCCGGGAAGAUAGGAAGAAACAAGUGUGUGUGGAUUUCUGGGGCAAGAGCAUUCUAGCCAGAAGAAUGAAUUACACACACACACACACACACACACACACGAGGGGUGACCAGGCCCAUUUUACAGAUGGGAAGGCUGACAGGAUUUGUACCCGGACCAUCUCGCCAGAACCUACAACGGAAGCCGUUGGUUGCUUCACCUGUACCCCUUCUGCACCCCCACCCCAUAGAGGGGAGUGGGAACCCCUCAGCCCCUCCACUUUCCCGAUCCUAAACAUAGCUGCACACCCGGUUUAGCAGCUAGGUGUCCCCAGUUUGGGGUCCCAGCAGGCCUUUGCUUUCAUGGAGCAGCUG